UGUCUGAUCCUGGCUCAGGGUGAACGCUGGCGGCGUGCCUAACACAUGCCAAGUCGAGCGACGAACUAGGAGGGUUUUAUUUUCGGAUAGAACUUUCCUGGGGAAAGCGGCGAACGGGUGAGUAACACUUGAGUAACCUCCCCCCCGGACUGGAAUAAUUCGUUGAAAGACGGACUAAUGUCAGAUGCCCUUUUUCGGUGGUCUCACUGAAAAAGGAAAGGACUGUGAAUAACGGUCUACCGAGGGAUGGGCUCGAGUCCUAUCAGCUAGUUGGUGAGGUAAUGGCUUACCAAGGCUAAGACGGGUAGCUGGUCUGAGAGGACGGCUAGCCACACGGGGAUUGAGAGACGGCCCCGACUCCUACGGGAGGCAGCAGUGGGGAAUAUUGGACAAUGCCCGAAAGGGUGAUCCAGCGACGCCGCGUGGGUGAUGAAGGCCUUCGGGUCUUAAAACCCUGUCAAGCGGGAAGAAUAUAUGACGGUACCGUAAAGGAAGCCCCAGGCUAAGCUCCGUC
rnacentral:rRNA from 1 species